GGGGUUGUGGCUUAGUGGUAGAGCACUUGCUUCACAUGCAUGAGGUACUGCAGGUUUCGAUCCUCAGCACCA
rnacentral:tRNA from 1 species